CCUGGAGUUGUAGGCUUUGCCUGCUAUCUCUUACCCAUGUCUUUUGAGUACCUUCGUUUCCUCGGCGGGUCCGCCCGCCGAUUGGACAAUUUAAAACCAUUUGCAGUUGCAAUCAGCGUCUGAAAAAACUUAAUAGUUA
rnacentral:misc_RNA from 1 species